CGAGAUGCUACGGCGUCGAAGCAGUGUAUGUCAGACUUCCAAGAAAAGCUCGCAAUGUCAUAAAUAAAGAAUGCCUGUACCAUAACCGACACAGGUGGGUAGGUAGAGUAUACUAAGGGGCGCGAGAUAACUCUCUCUAAGGAACUCGGCAAAAUAACUCCGUAACUUCGGGAGAAGGAGUGCCUUCUUUAAGAAGGUUGCAAUAACAAGAUCCAAGCAACUGUUUAUCAAAAACACAGGUCUCCGCUAAGUCGUAAGACGAUGUAUGGGGGCUGACGCCUGCCCAGUGCCAGAAGGUUAAAGAAGUUGGUUAGCUUUUGCGAAGCUGAUGACUGAAGCCCUGGUGAACGGCGGCCGUAACAAUAACGGUCCUAAGGUAGCGAAAUUCCUUGUCGGGUAAGUUCCGACCCGCACGAAAGGCGUAAUGAUUUGGAUACUGUCUCGGAGAGGGACUCGGUGAAAUAGACUUGUCUGUGAAGAUGCGGACUACCUGCACCAGGACAGAAAGACCCUAUGAAGCUUUACUGUAACUUGAAAUUGAAAUUGGACUUUAUUUGCGCAGUAUAGGUGGAAGGCGUUGAAAGUAAUCUUGCGGGAUUAGUGGAGCCAUCAGUGAGAUACCACUCCUAUAAUGUUAGAUUUCUAACUUUGGAUCAUGAUCUGGUCAAAGAACAGUUUCAGGCGGGCAGUUUGACUGGGGCGGUCGCCUCCCAAAUGGUAACGGAGGCGUACAAAGGUUUCCUCUGAACGGGUAGAAAUCGUAUCUAGAGUGUAAAGGCAUAAGGAAGCUUGACUGUGAGACCUACAAGUCGAGCAGGGACGAAAGUCGGUCUUAGUGAUCUGACGGUGCUGAGUGGAAAGGCCGUCACUCAACGGAUAAAAGUUACUCUAAGGAUAACAGGCUGAUCUCCCCCAAGAGUUCACAUCGACGGGGAGGUUUGGCACCUCGAUGUCGGCUCAUCGCAUCCUGGGGCGGUAGUACGUCCCAAGGGUUGGGCUGUUCGCCCAUGAAAGCGGUACGCGAGCUGGGUUCAGAACGUCGUGAGACAGUUCGGUCCAUAUCCGGUGUAGGCGUUAGAAUAUUGAGAGGAGCCUUCUUUAGUACGAGAGGACCGAGAAGGACAUACCUCUGGUGUACCAGUUAUCGUGCCAACGGUAAACGCUGGGUAGCUAUGUAUGGAGAGGAUAACCGCUGAAAGCAUCUAAGUGGGUAGCCCACCUCAAGAUGAGUAUUCUCAUCACGUAAGUGAGUAAGGUCACGGUAAGACUAACCGUUUGAUAGGCAUUAAGUAUAACUAUAGUAAUAUAUGAGCUGAGAUGUCCUAACAGACCGAGGACUUG
rnacentral:rRNA from 1 species